UACGGAGGAUGCAAGCGUUGUCCGGAUUUAUUGGGUUUAAAGGGUGCGUAGGCGGUUUUUUAAGUCAGUGGUAAAAUUACUUAGCUUAACUAAGUUCGUGCCAUUGAUACUGUUAAACUUGAGUAUUGAUUAGGUGGAUGGAAUUGGUAGUGUAGCGGUGAAAUGCUUAGAUAUUACCAAGAACACCGAUAGCGAAGGCAAUUCACUGAACAACAACUGACGCUGAUGCACGAAAGUGCGGGUAUCAAACAGG
rnacentral:rRNA from 1 species